rnacentral:misc_RNA from 1 species
ACAAUGCUGCACCACGCCCUGGGGCCCCCGGCGCUCCCCCACAGACUCGCUAACUCUGUACAUAAUAAAAAGUGACCUGUCAGACUUGUUAACUUUGUACAUCAGUAAAAGUGAUCUGUC